ensembl:lncRNA
UGUAAAAGAAACUGGAUGAAAAUGAAAGUUCCACUCCUCAAUAAAAGGGCAGCUGCUUCUCCUUGUGCAUUUGGGUCCCUGGAUCAACAGUCGCCCUGGAGUGGCUCACAAAACAGAAACUUAGUCAUUAACAUGUGGAAAAACCCAGUACUGUGCUUUCUCAUUGGUCACUGUUCACCAGCCUGCUGUGCUCUCUGCAGCUCUGGGUCAGGAUAUCAUCAUGCCCUGUGAGCUCCGGCUGCAAGAUGAGAAGCUCCUGUCCCAGCCCAUCCUCUACUGGUGGAAAUUAAAUGAGAUGGGUGGUGAUUUCAUACGGUUGAUCCCCUCACAGACCCCGAACAAUAGCCGUGCAAACCUUCUGGACAAUAACGGGACAUCAACAAACAAGUCGAUGAUUCUGAAAAGUGUGCAGUGGGCUGACAGCGGGAAGUACCGCUGCAAGCUCUCGCUUCACACAGAGAGGAAUGGAAAUUUUAGGCAGAAGGGGGACACAACUUCCCUUGUGGUUUACGGCACCGUGGUCUUUAAUGUCACCAAACGCGCUCCCUGCAUGCUGGGCUGUGAGGUCAGCGU